UUGCGUGCGACAUGCCCAUCUCGCGCGCGGCGUUCGCACCUCGCGCGCGGCGUUCGCACCUCGCGCGCGGCGUUCGCACCUCGCGCGCGCGAGAUGCGCCUGUCGCACGCGAGAUGCGCGCUGCACGCCCAUCUCGCGCGCGCGAGGUGCGCACGUCGCGCGCAUCUCGCGUGCCACGCAGAGCGAGUUGGCUUCCCCCCUUUCUCUUCUCUUCCCUUUCCCACAUGCAUCUCACCCACCACCGCCAUUAAAACACCACCAACAACAACAACAUCCCAAACAACAACAACAACCCAAACAACAACAACAUCCCAAACAACAACAGCAACAACAACAACAAGAAAAACGGCAAAAUAACUCACCUAGGGUUUUCAAUUUUUUUCUUUGAUUUUGGAGAUCUCCGAAGAUUUUCAUCGUGAUUUAGCUUCUUUCAAGUGCCAACAACUUCCUCCGCUGCCGAUGUACGCUGCCGCCGACAAUCUGUAGAACUUCCAGUGAUGAGAUUUUGGUGAGAGGGGAAGGAAUUUGCUUGAGGGAAACGUGAGAAUGAGGAGGGUAAUUUCGUCCAAAAUGUGGUGAUUUGGCUAAUGUUGAAAGAAAAAAAUUUGAGGGGUUAAAGUUGAAAAAUGCCUUCUUUUUUUGGCUUGUUUUGUAAAUUUCCCCUU
rnacentral:lncRNA from 1 species